rnacentral:rRNA from 1 species
UGCGUAGGUGGUUUCUUAAGUCAGAGGUGAAAGGCUACGGCUCAACCGUAGUAAGCCUUUGAAACUGGGAAACUUGAGUGCAGGAGAGGAGAGUGGAAUUCCUAGUGUAGCGGUGAAAUGCGUAGAUAUUAGGAGGAACACCAGUUGCGAAGGCGGCUCUCUGGACUGUAACUGACACUGAGGCACGAAAGCGUGGGGAGGCAAAACA